GACUGCAAAGCCAUCCUCCUCUCUGUAUAUGAGAAAAAACCCACUUAGAGACAUUGACACGCAAUAUAUUGUCUUUCUUUCUCCAAUCCUUAUAGAAGUCUCUUCAAUCAAGUAAGAUGAUACAAAUAAAACGAAGUGAAGACAAUUUGAAAGGUUUAUAGCAGGUAAAGGUCGAAACUUUGGAGCCAAAGAACAUAUUAAACAUACCUCCAGCAGCAACGAGUUUUUCAA